CUAAGCUGCUGGGAGAGGGGCAGGAGAGAAGAAAGUUCCCCAAACAGAGCUCAGCCUCUCGCCCAACUCUUUACUCCUCCUGAUCAGAGCUGUCUCACCACAAGGAUCUUUGUCUUCUAUAUCCUGACACCUCUGGAAGAUCCUGAGGAAGAAAUAUGACAUGUGAGAAACUUCCUGCCUUCCUUCCCGCCUCUGAGGAUUCGUGCACAGCACAAUAGAGUUUUUUGCAACCAGCUUCCAGCUCCAUGCAUUCAAAGAUGGGAGAACUGCAUUCAAGGAUGGUAGAACUGGUAUAAGAUGCAUUUGCCCAUGACGCUUCGGAAUUGAACCUCUAGACCACACAUGGCGAUGGUCAGCAGAAGCAGUGGGGCUCUGGGAAUUACACAAAAGGCUGAAAAUUCUCUUAUUCUGCUGCCAAGUUCUCCAUUUACCGCCGAGGCAACCUGGGGAAAAUAGUUGGACUCUUUGUGCUCAGUUUCCUACUCUGGAUUCAAGUUGGAGAAAACAAUGCCGAUUACAUUUUCAGCAGCUGCAAAUAAAAUUGGAAGUAAAGCUGUUUUG
rnacentral:lncRNA from 1 species